GGUAGAUUUAACUUUGCUGUACAUUAUUGCUGUUUACAGUUUAUCUCUAUCUAUAAUAAUAUUCAAGAUAAUAACCAAAAACGGCAAAAUUUCCUUAAAAUUACCAAUUCAGGGGCAGCAACCCAACAACGGGUUACCUGAUUGGUCUGAAAAUUUCAGGGCAGAUAGAUCUUGACCUAAUGAACAAUUUUAUACCACCAUAUUUGCUCUAAAUGCUUUGGUUUCAGAGAUAUGAGCCAAAAACUGCAUUUUACCCUAUGUACUAUUUUUAGCCAUGUCGGCCAUCUUGGUUCGCGGGCGGGGUCAUCGGACACAUUUUUUAAACUAGAUACUCUAAUGAUCAUUGUGGACAAGUUUGGUUAAAUUUGUCUUAGUAGUUUCAGAGGAGAAGAUUUUUGUAAAAGAUUACAAAAAUUUACGAAAAAUGGUUAAAAAUUGACUAUAAAGGGCAAUAACUCCUUAAGGGGUCAACUGAUCAUUUUGGUCAAUUUAUUUGUAGAUCUUACUUUGCUGAACAUUAUUGCUGUUUACAGUUUAUCUUUAUCUAUAAUAAUAUUCAAGAUAAUAACCAAAAACGGCAAAAUUUCCUUAAAAUUACCAAUUCAGGGGCAGCAACCCAACAACGGGUUGUCCGAUUCAUCUGAAAAUUUCAGGGCAGAUAGAUCUUGACCUGAUAAACAAUUUUAGCCCAUGUCAGAUUUGCUCUAAAUGCUUUGGUUUCAGAGAUAUAAGCCAAAAUCUACAUUUUACCCCUAUGUUCUAUUUUUAGCCAUGGCGGCCAUCUUGGUUGGUUAGCCGGGUCACUGGACACAUUUUUUAACAUAGAUACCCCAAUGAUGAUUGUGGCCAAGUUUGGUCAAAUUUGGCCCAGUAGUUUCAGAGGAGAAGAUUUUUGUAAAAGUUAACGACUGUCACAGGGUGACUGUGUUUACUCACAUAUAUGUUGUUAUUUUGGUUGUUAAUUCUAUUUCGAUUUGCAGAACGUCAGUAUCUUAUAAAUGCUAUAUUCUGCAGACUUCGGUGUAUAAUACAUGUCCACAUUUUACAUCUAAUUAAUUAAGUAGUGUCCACUAUUUACUUGGGCAUUUACCUGUAAACUUGUCGAACGGGUUGAGUAACAGUGAUACCUGUAUUUGAUGAGCUGACUAUUCACUCUCAGGUAACACCUUAACGAGUCAAGGUGUGGUCAGAAAUGUUUGUAUAAAGUUAGUUUACAAUGUGGCGUGGACACACACACUGGAUUUCUGAGGUCCCAGUUUGCGGGCUAGGUGUAUGUAGUUUUGUAUAGUAAAGUAUGGAGAUAUAGUACAGAUGGUGGUGAAACCUGUUGACAGUGCGGCGUUCCGUGUUUAUCAUCAAUAGUUUGGCAACAUAGAAUAUUUGGAGUCGAGUCUAGACAAUAGGGCAGCCGUAAUGUGUACACCGCUUAUGUUGGGCCAGUUUUGUGUAGUUACCGAAAACCAAAUACGUAAAAUUCCGUAGUAUCGUUUAUCCAGAUUUCAUAGUUUAAUAUAAAGAAGAAGGAACAGUUCAUUAAACAUUUGACAGUAUUAUUUCAUUUCAUUUCAUCUAUUUAUAUUUGUAAAUUUGUACCUAAUUAAAUUGUUAUUUUGUUUAAA